GAGAUGAGAAAUUCAUAACUCACCUUUACAGGGUUGUGCUUGUAAAAAAUAGGUGAUGCAGGGCAUGCAAGGUGAUAUAUCUGAUCAACCUCCACCAGCAACGGUUCGGUGACAUCUGCAAAUGAAACACACAAAAUAAAGCUAAGAUCAGGGUCUGAGAAGAGAAGAAAUGCAGCAACUCAUACCCAUAAAAGAAAGCGCGACUAAAGAAUCCCUCGACUCGAGAAAGAUCAAGAACCCUAAUUGCAGCCAUGUUCUGUCAUCAAGAAACAAAUUGGGUGAUUUAUGUGUACUUUGUUAGCCAUCCUAUCUUGAGGCUGAAGGGGCAUGCUACAAUGUGGUAAGUGGGAAAAAUGAAACAUAUAUAGCCUGCUUUUGUUUUCUCAUUCACUUCAUACUAAUAGUUUUUUGUUGUUCUAAAAUCAGCCCAGAAGGAACACUUUGGUAACUUCUUAUUCUGCUGAUUUGGUUGUAAUGCUUUUUUUUCCUCAUAUUUCAAACACAU